rnacentral:rRNA from 1 species
GACGAACGCUGGCGGCGUGCUUAACACAUGCAAGUCGAACGGAAAGGCCCUGCUUUUGUGGGGUGCUCGAGUGGCGAACGGGUGAGUAACACGUGAGUAACCUGCCCUUGACUUUGGGAUAACUUCAGGAAACUGGGGCUAAUACCGGAUAGGAGCUCCUGCUGCAUGGUGGGGGUUGGAAAGUUUCGGCGGUUGGGGAUGGACUCGCGGCUUAUCAGCUUGUUGGUGGGGUAGUGGCUUACCAAGGCUUUGACGGGUAGCCGGCCUGAGAGGGUGACCGGCCACAUUGGGACGGAGAUGCGGCCCAGACUCCUACGGGAGGCAGCAGUGGGGAAUAUUGCACAAUGGGCGGAAGCCUGAUGCAGCAACGCCGCGUGCGGGAUGACGGCCUUCAGGUUGUAAACCGCUUUCGCCUGUGACGAAGCGUGAGUGACGGUAAUGGGUAAAGAAGCACCGGCUAACUACGUG